rnacentral:lncRNA from 1 species
GAGACGAGGAAGGGCGUCAUAAGCGACGAAAUGCUUCGGGGAUUUGAAAAUAAGCAUAGAUCCGGAGAUUCCCAAAUAGGUUAACCUUUCAAACUGCUGCCGAAUCCAUGGGCAAGCAAGAGACAACCUGGCGAACUAAAACAUCUUAGUAGCUAGAGGAAAAGAAAGCAAAAGCGAGUUGCAAGGGUUAAGGUUUGGCGGAGUGAUGACCGCGCAAUUUUGGCUUGAAGCCUUC